UACAGAGGGUGCGAGCGUUAAUCGGAAUUACUGGGCGUAAAGCGUGCGUAGACGGUCUUGUAAGUCGGUUGUGAAAGCCCCGGGCUCAACCUGGGAAUUGCAUUCGAGACUGCAAGGCUUGGGUGCGGAAGAGGGUAGCGGAAUUUCCGGUGUAGCGGUGAAAUGCGUAGAUAUCGGAGGGAACGCCAGUGGCGAAAGCGGCUUCCUGGUCCGACACCGACGUUCAGGCACGAAAGCGUGGGGAGCAAACAGG
rnacentral:rRNA from 1 species